UGGCUCCGGCUUGGGAAGCGGCAGAAAAGGCCGGCGUGUGGGGCGGGCCUGGGGAAGGGACUCCCGCGGCCCUAAGGUGCUGGCGGGCGUUUGGCGUUGCAGCUGUGUGGGCGCUGGUGCGUGCGAGUAGCGCUCGAAGAAACCCAAAGGCGUCGUGGGGCUGCCGUGUGCCCCAGAGAGCACUGCAGGCCGGGUAGGGGCUAAGGCUCCCCGCAGUCUUCUGUGUGUCGUCCAGUACGCAGUUGAAAUCGUUCUCCAACCUGGCCAGUCCUCCGAGGCCCUUCUCAGGCGACCAGACUCUGUUAACAGAGUCCAUUGCUAAAACUCCUCGUUAGUAUUUACCACUCCUCCAGUCUGUGUUUUGAAGCAGUGGUUUUCAACCACUGCCCGUUUUCAGAAGAAAUCAUCUCAAGCGUCCGUGUGCUGCUAGAAGCCGGGCCGGGAGGUCUUGGUGCCGGACUCCACCCUGCAGCCCUUCCCUUUCGCCACCGCCCUGUGCUUAGAGAAACCUUAGAGUGGAGCAAUGAGUCGCCCUUGACUGAGUAACUCUUCGGGGUCAACUUCUCCUUCCACGCCAAGGAAAGGAUUCCAGGGCGAUGUUUCUGGAAAUAGAGAUCUGACCAAGCCACUGCUCUGGUGAAAAUUCAGUGGGUCCCUAGCACCUAGUGCAGCGGCUCCUAGCCUGAGUAUUGCCGUCUUUCGGUGGGGAGGGGUUGGGUUUUUUUGUAGCAUCUGUUGAUCUGAUCUCCAACAUCCUCCACGUCAAUUCCCACUCCACCCACAUCCCUUAUCCUAUACGUAAGCUUUCCAGCCACGGUGCUGGCUUGGGUGGGGGUGCGUGCGGUGCUGACACCAAAAUGGAGGUCCCGUGUUUCUGAGAGUCUCUUUCAGAGCAAUGCAAACCUGAAACUACUCCUGCCAAGAAACGAUUGCAGCUCUUCCCGGAAAAGUUAAAGCCUUUGAGAAACAAAGCUGAGCUAAUAUUGGGAAGCUCAGCAGGGUCCUGGGGGCCCACAGGAAUGUGAAUAAACACGCUUGGAAAGUCUGCAGAAUUUCCAGUCCUAGCCUCCUGCUGGUGUGAACCUGGGCUCCUGUGCCUGGGACCCUGGGAGGGCCUAGGGGAUGCCAAAUUCCAGGGUCCAGAAAGAGCUUGGGAUAAAAUGAACAUCCAAGGGGAGGGCUUUGACCUGGGCUGAGUCUGCCUGUGCCGAGUCUGCCUGUGCCAUCCAACUGGAGUCUCAAGUCCUGAGGCAGGACGUCCAGAUGCCCCAGUGCAGGGUCCUCCUGAUCAACACCUGCUCCCCUGUACUCAUUAGCAACCUCACCCACCCUACUCUCAAAGCACACUUGGCUCUCAUAUCCAGGAGCUCUGCAUCUGUAGAUUCAGCAACAGCAGAUGGAAAAUAUUCAGAAAAUAAAUUGGACAGUUAUAUUUCUAUUGAACAUGUGCAGACUUUGUUCUUG
rnacentral:lncRNA from 1 species